AUGUGUCUGAGCUUAGAUUUUUGAAAACCCUAAGCACUUGGGAGACUAAGAGCGAGCUCAGAACUGACUCUUUGCUGAUGUGAACACGCGGUUAGCUGGAUAAGCAACUAUCAUGACAAAGAUGCCAAACAAAAAUCAGCUUAUUUUUCCAUGCUCUUUAAGAUGGCGCUGGAGAGUGGCAACACUAUGCAAGAUGCAUGUGACAAUAAAUAAAUCAAACUGAAGAAACGGUGCAAAUCCAGCAAUGAUCCUGCUGACUGGGCCAAACAGCCUACUCCUGCUCCUACAUCUUGUAGUCAAUUGGAUAGAAUGCACCAGAGAAGGUUUGACAUGACGUAUCUUUGUACAUUGUAAUAAAAACCUGUAACAACAA